UCUGAACCCUUCGGGGGGACGACGGUGGAAUGAGCGGCGGACGGGUGAGUAACACGUAAAGAACCUGCCCAUAGGUCUGGGAUAACCACGAGAAAUCGGGGCUAAUACCGGAUGUGUCAUCGGACCGCAUGGUCCGCUGAUGAAAGGCGCUCCGGCGUCGCCCAUGGAUGGCUUUGCGGUGCAUUAGCUAGUUGGUGGGGUAACGGCCCACCAAGGCGACGAUGCAUAGCCGACCUGAGAGGGUGAUCGGCCACACUGGGACUGAGACACGGCCCAGACUCCUACGGGAGGCAGCAGUAGGGAAUCUUCCACAAUGGACGAAAGUCUGAUGGAGCAACGCCGCGUGAACGAUGAAGGCUUUCGGGUCGUAAAGUUCUGUUGUAAGGGAAGAACAAGUGCCGCAGGCAAUGGCGGCACCUUGACGGUACCUUGCGAGAAAGCCACGGCUAACUACGUGCCAGCAGCCGCGGUAAUACGUAGGUGGCAAGCGUUGUCCGGAAUUAUUGGGCGUAAAGCGCGCGCAGGCGGCCUCUUAAGUCUGAUGUGAAAGCCCCCGGCUCAACCGGGGAGGGCCAUUGGAAACUGGGAGGCUUGAGUAUAGGAGAGAAGAGUGGAAUUCCACGUGUAGCGGUGAAAUGCGUAGAGAUGUGGAGGAACACCAGUGGCGAAGGCGACUCUUUGGCCUAUAACUGACGCUGAGGCGC
rnacentral:rRNA from 1 species